AGGAGGAUAGGCUGAGCGCACCGUUGGUUGAGUGCGUCUAAGCAUGUAGGGAGUUAAGGUAGGCAAAUCCGCCUUAACAAUCCUGAAAUGCGAAUGGGAGCGAAAAACAAGUAGCGAAGCAGCUGACUCCACACUGCCAAGAAAAGCCUCUAUCGAGCCUAAGGGUACCCGUACCGCAAACCGACACAGGUAGGCGAGGAGAGAAUCCUAAGACGCGCGGAAGAACCUUUGUUAAGGAACUCGGCAAAAUAGCCCCGUAACUUCGGGAGAAGGGGUGCCAUCUGAGGUGAAGUUAUAAAACAGAGCCUUAGAUGGUCGCAGUGAAUAGGCCCAAGCGACUGUUUACCAAAAACACAAGUCUCUGCUAAAUCGAAAGAUGAAGUAUAGGGGCUGACACCUGCCCGGUGCUGGAAGGUUAAGGGGAAGAGUUAGCGAAAGCGAAGCUCAGAACUUAAGCCCCAGUAAACGGCGGCCGUAACUAUAACGGUCCUAAGGUAGCGAAAUUCCUUGUCGGGUAAGUUCCGACCCGCACGAAAGGUGUAACGACUUGGGCGCUGUCUCAACAAAGGAUCCGGUGAAAUUGUAGUACACGUGAAGAUGCGUGUUACCCACGACAGGACGGAAAGACCCCGUGGAGCUUUACUGUAGGCUGACAUUGGACUUUGGAAUUACAUGUACAGGAUAGGUGGGAGGCUGAGAAGCAUGGGCGCCAGUCUGUGCAGAGCCGCCGGUGGGAUACCACCCUUGUAGUUCUGGAGUUCUAACCAGAGGCUGUGAAACCAGUCUUGGGACACUGUCAGUUGGGCAGUUUGACUGGGGCGGUCGCCUCCUAAAGAGUAACGGAGGCGCUCAAAGGUUCCCUCAGCACGGUCGGAAAUCGUGCGAAGAGUGUAAAGGCAGAAGGGAGCUUGACUGCGACACUGACAAGUGGAGCAGGUACGAAAGUAGGACUUAGUGAUCCGGUGGUACCGAGUGGAAGGGCCAUCGCUCAACGGAUAAAAGCUACCCCGGGGAUAACAGGCUUAUCUCCCCCAAGAGUCCACAUCGACGGGGAGGUUUGGCACCUCGAUGUCGGCUCGUCUCAUCCUGGGGCUGGAGUAGGUCCCAAGGGUUGGGCUGUUCGCCCAUUAAAGAGGUACGCGAGCUGGGUUCAGAACGUCGUGAGACAGUUCGGUCCCUAUCCGUCGCGGGCGUAGGAAAUUUGAGAGGAGCUGUCCCUAGUACGAGAGGACCGGGAUGGACAGACCGCUGGUGCACCAGUUGUCGUGCCAACGGCACAGCUGGGUAGCUAAGUCUGGAAGGGAUAAGUGCUGAAGGCAUCUAAGCACGAAGCCCCCCUCAAGAUGAGAUUUCCCACCGAAAGGUUAAGACUCCAAGUAGACUACUUGGUAGAUAGGCCCCAGGUGUAAGAGUAGCAAUACUCUUAGAUAAGAGG
rnacentral:rRNA from 1 species